rnacentral:lncRNA from 1 species
CGAACUAUGCCUACCUAUUAAUUUAUAAAAAUACCAAAAAAGUAGUAUAAUUUACUAAGUGCGUUUCUAAUUAGUGCAGGGUACAAAAUAACUCAGACACAAGUAAUGACCAAAAGGUUCGUGUUCCCUACUAAACAAAUAACUAAAAAUUUAACUUUUUUUAAGAUGUAUACUGUGUUCUAGUUGUUAAUAAACUUUCAGUGUUUAUACCAAUAAUUUCAACGCCAACGUAAACAAUAAAGACCAAACAACCCGAAAAAAAAA